rnacentral:misc_RNA from 1 species
AAGCUCUCAAAUAUCUUCAUCAACAUCAAGCCAGUGGUGGUGAGCAUGCAACGGUUCGCAAGUAUAUUUCAAAUCGAUUUCUGAAGACAAUGCCGAAAGUUGAAAUGCCCACCUUUACUGGAGACAACCCGCAAGGAUGGAUUGCGCAGAUGGAACGAUAUUUCGAAGCCUAUGGUACUUGCGAUGAAAUGAAGAUCUACAAAUGUUGGGUCAGUAUGGAGGGACCUUCCCUCCACUGAUUUCGCAAGUUACGGCGAAGACAUCCUCUUGUCACUUGGGACUAAUUCACGUCAGAGUUGUUGCAACAAUAUGGAAUGGAAGUCGUCGAAACUCCUACACAUCUCGCUGUUGUUGCUCAGACAGGUCCGAUGACUAAAUAUGGUGAAGAUUGCGUCUCCUCAGUAGCACAGAUGGAUUGCGAACCCCAAAUUGGGGCAUGCAAAAAAGAGGUGUAUGUAGCUUCGAUGAUAGCGAUUUCAGAUUUGCGCUGUCAUGGAUACUAUUUUGAUGGCUUCCAAGAAGAUAUAAGGGUGAGGAUGGAGGCGGCAACAAAAAUAGAGAGAAUGAUUGCAAUCAGGACAGAGCAUUUUCAAGUUGUCUUUCCA